rnacentral:lncRNA from 1 species
UAGUUUGUAAUUCAUACUUUCUAAUGUAUGAGUCCAACGUCGUUCAGGUGGAAAUUCAUUCUUUGUUCAACUGCAUCUGUUUGUAAUCAAUCUUACAAAAAAAAAAAGGGAAAAAGAAGACAAAACAAAGGAGAAAGAUGGCGUUUAGUUGUUUAGUGGAUAAGCAAUAACACACAUAGAUGAGAAGUGGAAGACAAUGCCAUUGUGACUGUCUAUUUUGUUGUUCGAAAUAAUUUCCUUCAAAAAGCAUU